rnacentral:rRNA from 1 species
UACGUAGGGGGCAAGCGUUGUUCGGAAUUACUGGGCGUAAAGCGCGCGUAGGCGGAUUGGCAAGUCAGAUGUGAAAGCCCCGGGCUCAACUUGGGAACUGCAUUUGAUACUGCCAGACUAGAGUACAGAAGAGGUGACUGGAAUUCCCAGUGUAGCGGUGAAAUGCGUAGAUAUCGGGAGGAACGACCGGUGGCGAAGGCGGUUCUCUGGGCCUGUACUGACGCUGAGGAGCGAAAGCGUGGGGAGCGAACAGG